CCUACGAGUGGCAGCAGUGGGGCAUAUUGGGCAAUGGGCGCAAGCCUGACCCAGCAACGCCGCGUGAAGGAAGAAGGCUUUCGGGUUGUAAACUUCUUUUAUCAGGGACGAAGCAAGUGACGGUACCUGAUGAAUAAGCCACGGCUAACUACGUGCCAGCAGCCGCGGUAAUACGUAGGUGGCAAGCGUUAUCCGGAUUUACUGGGUGUAAAGGGCGUGUAGGCGGGAAAGCAAGUCAGAUGUGAAAACCAUGGGCUCAACCUGUGGCCUGCAUUUGAAACUGUUUUUCGUGAGUACUGGAGAGGCAGACGGAAUUCCUAGUGUAGCGGUGACAUGCGUAGAUAUUAGGAGGAACACCAGUGGCGAAGGCGGUCUGCUGGACAGCAACUGACGCUGAGGCGCGAAAGCGUGGGGAGCAAACAGGAUUAGAUACCCGAGUAGUC
rnacentral:rRNA from 1 species